GCCGGAUCACAUCAAUACUACAUAAUAAAUGAUCUUUAUUAAUCAUGUUACUUCUACAUGAUCAGUAACAGAUGAUCAAUAACAGAGAUAAGGGCAUUCGGCCAAUAGUUAGAUUCCAAACAAAAUACCCCAGUCUAAAACAACCACCACGAAAGCGCUACCUUCAAUCGAGAGACAAGUGAAAGGUUCUGAUCUCUUC
rnacentral:lncRNA from 1 species